AAUAAUAAGAAUGUAUUCAGUGCACUCACAUUGUCUGGAUGACAGAGCCAUUCACAGAACUCAUUAUUUUGACCACACAGGGAGUGCAGCCAGCUAAGUGGGGGUGUAUUCACACCUCUGGUUGCGGGAGAGAAGACACAAGGACUUCUAAUUUCUUUGAUGGCACAGGAACAGUGGCAUCACAGAGCCUCGUGAUAGAUGAGCCGGUACUGGACCUGAGGCCGGUCUGGCGGAGGGAGGGAUGUUGGCAGCGCAGGAGCCUCCGGGAACGGUG